rnacentral:rRNA from 1 species
AUUGAACGCUGGCGGCAGGCUUAACACAUGCAAGUCGAACGAGUGGCGGACGGGUGAGUAAUGCUUGGGAAACUGGCUGAUGGAGGGGGAUAACUACGGGAAACGGUAGCUAAUACCGCAUACCAUAGGAUGAGCCCAGGUGGGAUUAGGUAGUUGGUGAGGUAAAGGCUCACCAAGGCGACGAUCCCUAGCUGGUCUGAGAGGAUGACCAGCCACACUGGAACUGAGACACGGCCCAGACUCCUACGGGAGGCAGCAGUGGGGAAUAUUGCGCAAUGGGGGCAACCCUGACGCAGCCAUGCCGCGUGUAUGAAGAAGGCCUUCGGGUUGUAAAGUUCUUUCGGUGGCGAGGCGUUAACUACAGAAGAAGCACCGGCUAACUCCGUGCCAGCCGCCGCGGUAAUAC